rnacentral:rRNA from 1 species
AACGAACGCUGGCGGCAGGCUUAACACAUGCAAGUCGAACGCAUCCUUCGGGGUGAGCGGCAGACGGGUGAGUAACGCGUGGGAACGUGCCCUUCAGUUCGGGAUAACCCAGGGAAACUUGGGCUAAUACCGGAUACGUGCGAGAGCAGAAAGAUUUAUCGCUGAAGGAUCGGCCCGCGUCUGAUUAGCUAGUUGGUGGGGUAAUGGCCCACCAAGGCGACGAUCAGUAGCUGGUCUGAGAGGAUGAUCAGCCACAUUGGGCCUGAGACACGGCCCAAACUCCUACGGGAGGCAGCAGUGGGGAAUAUUGGACAAUGGGCGCAAGCCUGAUCCAGCCAUGCCGCGUGAGUGAUGAAGGCCUUAGGGUUGUAAAGCUCUUUCGUCCGGGACGAUAAUGACGGUACCGGAAGAAGAAGCCCCGGCUAACUUCGUGCCAGCAGCCGCCGUAA